UGAAUUUGACGUCAUCAGGCUAUUUUCUCCCUACGGUUAAAGCUCUGCGGAUACCAAAUGAAUCGAAGUUUCUGGUGUCUGACCAAGGACGUCUCCAAUGCAAUCCAGUUGCGGACUUUUUAAGAGACUGUAAAUGUUAUUUCAUCGUGAGGAAGUCCAUUAAUGACAAGACCUACCGUUUUGAAUACAGAUAUCAAGUACAGCUAGAUCAGCCAAAAUAUCUCGGCAUAAAAGGAAAUACACUGGACCUGAUAGCUGAAGCAGACGAAGCAUUAACAAGGUUCCAGCAGCAGGAAAGACACGGCCUCGUCUUCUUAAAAAUUCCCGGACGAAACGAUGUGACUGUUAGUUUUAAUGAAGACCGUGGUAUCUGUGAACUUCGCCCGUGUGACUGUGAAGCAGAAAACGGAAUAAAUCUGGUGCAAACAAACUGUCCAGUGUAGAAAAUCAUUUUGCUG